AACGUGACUCUUUUUGUCCAUGGCAAAUGAUUUUGUCUUUGCUAUUCAAAGGUUUUUUAUUUUAUUUUACAUUUGCAUUACUGCUGUUAGAAUAGAUAUACAGAUAUCUAUUAAACCAGGUGGAUAUUCCAAUACAAGCACACACAUACUACCCUGGCUGCAGGGCCUGGAAGGUACUGUUGUUAUACUUCCCGCUCUGGUUUGCGGUGAGGCUGAAGCCUCAGUUCAUUAUAAUGAAAGUACCUGAAAGGCCCUGGAACAAACACGUUAACAUGGUGGUAUCUAAGGGGGCAACUAAUGGGUAAAAAGGGGGUUAAUAAGCCUAGAGCGAGAGAAAGCAAUCGAAAGUUAGAGGAUCGAAGACGAUCAGAUACCGUCCUAGUUCUAACCAUAAACGAUGCCGACUAGGGAUCAGAGAGUGUUAUUGGAUGACCUCUUUGGCACCUUAUGGGAAACCAAAGUUUUUGGGUUCCGGGGGAAGUAUGGUUGCAAAGCUGAAACUUA
rnacentral:ncRNA from 1 species